GGCUGAGCGCUACGGCUAGGAUAGUUUCAAGAAUUUGUUUCUUCAUUAGUUUGUGUUGGUGCCAAACUUACUGCCAAUUAUGUGGCGGAAGACGAUCUGAGGAGAGAAGCCGGAUACUCAGACGCGGCAAUGUGAACUCUAUUUUCUGCCACGUCACCUUGAUAUAUUUUGAUCUCUUAAAUUUAGAUUUUUAAUUUAGUCAGUUAAUAAAGUAAAUUAUUUAAC